AUGGUGUCCUGGAGCGACAGUGAGAGCACUGACGGCUCCGGCGCGCAGUACAUCUCCUCCGACGACUCCCCUCUCAAGAUCCCAGCUAUAAUUGAUGAGCCGUCGUUCGAGGGUCUUGCUGACGACUUGAAUGUGAUUUGUGAGCAUGGGAAUCCAGGGAGGAAGUAUGUUGCAUUUGAGGGGAUAAGCACUGGUAGGAGGUUCAUUGCCUGUGCCACUGAAGGUGUUGGAAAUUGUGGAUUAGUGCAGUGGGUAGAUGAGCAUUGGCCAGAGGAUCUGCAGAAUGCUAUUCAUAAGCUGUGGCUUAUGUAUGAGCAUAGCCAGCAUGAAAACAAGAUGGCAUGCCUGGAGCAUUCAAGCACUGUACACAAUCUCACACAGCAGAAAAAAGAGUUGUAG
rnacentral:rRNA from 1 species